GAUGAACGCUGGCGGCGUGCUUAACACAUGCAAGUCGAACGGGAUCCAAGGAGCGUUUUUCGUUUUUUGGUGAGAGUGGCGAACGGGUGAGUAACACGUGAGUAACCUGUCCUUUUCUUUGGGAUAAGCUCCUGAAAGGGUGUUUAAUACCUUAUGUUCUGUCUGCCUCGCAUGGGGUGGGUGGGAAAGAUUUUUUCGGUGAAGGGUGGGCUCGCGGUCUAUCAGCUUGUUGGUGGGGUGAUGGCUUACCAAGGCUUUGACGGGUAGCCGGCCUGAGAGGGUGGUCGGUCACAUUGGGACGGAGAUACGGCCCAGAAUCCUGCGGGAGGCAGCAGUGGGGGAGAUUGCACAAUGGGCGCAAGCCUGAUGCAGCGACGCCGCGUGGGGGAUGAAGGCCUUCGGGUUGUAAACUUCUUUUGCUCUGAACAAGGCGCAUCUUUGGGGUGUGUUGAGUGUAGGGGUUGAUUAGCGCCGGCUAACUACGUG
rnacentral:rRNA from 1 species